UGGGGAAUCUUGCACAAUGGAGGGAACUCUGAUGCAGCGACGCCGCGUGAACGAAGAAGGCUUUCGAGUCGUAAAGUUCUUUUAUAUGGGAAGAUAAUGACGGUACCAUAAGAAAAAGCCCCGGCUAACUACGUGCCAGCAGCCGCGGUAAUACGUAGGGGGCUAGCGUUGUCCGGAAUCACUGGGCGUAAAGGGUUCGCAGGCGGAAAUGCAAGUCAGGUGUAAAAGGCAGUAGCUUAACUACUGUAAGCAUUUGAAACUGCAUAUCUUGAGAAGAGUAGAGGUAAGUGGAAUUUUUAGUGUAGCGGUGAAAUGCGUAGAUAUUAAAAAGAAUACCGGUGGCGAAGGCGACUUACUGGGCUCAUUCUGACGCUGAGGAACGAAAGCGUGGGUAGCAAACAGG
rnacentral:rRNA from 2 species